UCUAAUCUAACAACAUUAAUCAGUUACCAUGGAUUUACUGAGGAUUUGCUCUGUGUCGGGCACUGAGCUCAGUGAUGCUAGCUUGCUCUCUAGUUUGGGAGAUAGGAGGGAUGGAUGUGAGUGGCUUGCUGAGAGUCAACAGUGAGAACUGAAAGUCCUAAGAGACAGGGCAGGAGACCAUUGAAGGGGCUGGAUUUGUCCUGAGCCCUGAAGGGCAGUGGCUAGCAAGUUGGAAUAACAGAGGGGACCGAGGAGAGGGGAGGCAUCAGAGUGGACAGUGCAGGGUCUGUUUGGGAACUACCUGGGAACGUGCUCUGCUGGCUUUUCACCGAAAACCUCGGGACCUUUCAGAGGGUUGAGAAUUUCCAUCAUGUCCUCUAGUCCAAGCAGGUUCAUGGUCCCUCGGUACGGUGGUCUGAGAUGUACUCCUCUAAGGCCAAUUAAUCACCUAACAGAGUUCAUUUGUCGGAAGAGUCAAGAUUAACGAUACCGUGGGGGCGAGAAAGAAGGAAGUUGAACAAAGAAAAUGGUAAAUUGACACAUUCGAAUUCUCUCUUUGGACAUCCCUUAUCACCUGCUUUCCAGCCCGGACAUUUGAGUCAGACAGAAAAAGGUUUGGGUUUACUUUUUUUUUUAUUUUGACACUUUCUAGAUAAGCUUAGCUAGUUAUUCAACCUUUCUGAGCCUUAAUUUACUCAGUUAUACUACAGAGUAAAGAAUAUUGCUUUUAUCCUUGCAAAAUUGCUGAGGAUAAAAGGAGAAAGUGUAGGGAGAAUGCUUGGUGUGUGGAGGGCCCCUGCACACUAGGCGGUCCAUUAGAAGGCUUAUGCCUACAGAGACUUGGCAAUGAUGCGAAUGCAUAAUUGGAAACUAAGUAUCAGAUAUGUAUAAGGGGCUAAGACAAAGCUUCCUGAAAGGAGCAGCUGAUACUCAGAGCCAUCUAAUCAUUAUUUUACAUUGAAAUUUGAUCCCUGUGUUGUCAGAUCUACUUUUUUAAAGAAGUCAAUAAUCUAGAAUUUUAUAUGCCAUCCUUUGAUUUCAAAUAUGACAAGUGUGACAGAGAUUACUAAUUGCCCCCACGCUCCACUUUUCCUUUCUUUCUCUCUGUCCUAGAACCCUCAGGUUUUAUUUAGGCACAUGCUCUUCCCCUUCUCUCUCCCUCCAGCCGCUAGAUAAUAUAUAUUUCAGCUUCUCUUGCAGCUAAGUGUGGCCAUUGAUCAAGUUCUGUUCAAUAGAGAGUGAGAAUGAGUAACGUGUGCAAGUUUGUGGUCAGGUUCUUAGAAGCUCCUUGACUUCCACUUCUUUUUUCUUCUUCCCAUUGGUGGUGAGCCUGUUUCAGCCACGUGGAUGGAGUCAUCACUUUGGGGACAGUUGGGAACAACCAGGUCACGGGCAGUGCAUUUCCACUGUCAGGAGCCCUGAUAUAGCAACCAACAAGGUGAUAAAAGUUGGACUGGGGACAGGUGCAUUCUAUGCCUGUGACAGGUGCUUUCUCUGCCUGCUGAUCCUGGGAACCCUCCUGGAGACAGAGGGAUAAGAAGACAUGGGCAGGUGUUCUGUCUCAAACAAGGAGGUUAUGGAACAGCAUUCUGGAGCAUUCCCCACCAAAAUUACCCUGGUGAACAAUUGUAACACCUUCACGAUGUUGUGCAGCCAUCACCUCUGUCUAGCUCCAAAACGUCGUCAUCACUCGGAAGUAAAAGCCCUUACCCACGAGGCCGUUUUUCCCUCUUCACAACCCCCCCCACCAGUCCCUGGCAA